rnacentral:rRNA from 1 species
AACGAACGCUGGCGGCGUGCCUAACACAUGCAAGUCGAGCGCGAAAGUCCCCUCGGGGGCAAGUAGAGCGGCAGACGGGUGAGUAAUACAUAGGUAAUCUACCCCCCGAGUUUGGGAUAACCCUGCGAAAGCGGGGCUAAUACCGGAUAAGACCACGCAACCUAAGUUGUGUGGUAAAAGGUGGCUUGAAUUUAUUCUGGCUAUCACUUGAGGAUGAGCCUUUGGCCUAUCAGCUAGUUGGUGAGGUAACGGCUUACCAAGGCUAUGACGGGUAGCUGGUCUGAGAGGAUGAUCAGCCACACUGGGACUGAGACACGGCCCAGACUCCUACGGGAGGCUG